rnacentral:rRNA from 1 species
AUGAGUGACAACGAGCUAAUCUCCAUGUCCUGGAACGUUCGUGGCUUGAACUGUCCGGAGAAACGCACAGCCAUUAGGGAUGUAGUUCAAGCUAACCGCGUUGCAUUCCUAGCAUUGCAAGAAACGAAGGUGGAAAUUUGGUCUUCUUCCAUGGAUACGGAGGUCGGCGGUGCGAUCCUGCAGGGAUGUGUAGUGCUGCCGGCAAACGGGAUGAGAGGUGGUGCAACGAUCUUCUGGGAUAAGCUAGUAGUCGAUGUAGUUUCACAUCAUUUAGGCAGUUUCUCCAUUACGGCUAGAGUAGAGCCCAAGUUAGCAGGUGACCCCUUCUGGCUUACCACGGUCUAUGGGCCGACAGACGACGCGCAGAAGGAUAGUUUCCUGGCUAAGCUAGCAGCUGCUGCACCACCGGCUGGUGAACUAUGGGUGAUCAAUGGUGAUUUCAACAUGAUCUAUCAAGCGAGUGAUAAGAGUAACAGCAACAUCAACAGGAGGAUGAUGGGCAAGUUCCGAAGAGCUUUGGACUAG